rnacentral:rRNA from 1 species
UACAGAGGGGGCAAGCGUUAUUCGGAAUUGUUGGGCGUAAAGGGCGCGUAGGCGGCUUUGCAAGUGACGGGUGAAAUCCCUCGGCUUAACCGAGGAACUGCCUGUCAGACUGUGAGGCUUGAGACCGGGAGAGGUGAGUGGAAUUCCCAGUGUAGCGGUGAAAUGCGUAGAUAUUGGGAGGAACACCAGUGGCGAAGGCGGCUCACUGGACCGGAACUGACGCUGAGGCGCGAAAGCGUGGGGAGCAAACAGG